GGGACACGUGAAACCCUGUGGGAAGCAGGAGGGACCACCCUCCAAGGCUAAAUACUACCUAGUGACCGAUAGCGUAUAGUACCGUGAGGGAAAGGUGAAAAGAACCCCGGGAGGGGAGUGAAAUAGAACCUGAAACCCUGCACUUACAAGCUGUGGAAGCACAUUUCUUGUGUGACCGCGUACUUUUUGUAGAACGGGCCAACGAGUUACGUUAAGUAGCAAGGUUAAGCACUUAAGGUGCGGAGCCGUAGCGAAAGCGAGUUUUAACUGAGCGUUCAGUUACUUGACGUAGACCCGAAACCGGGCGACCUACCCAUGAGCAGGAUGAAGCGAAAGUAAAAUUUCGUGGAGGUCCGAACCCACGAGCGUUGAAAAGCUCGGGGAUGACUUGUGGGUAGCGGUGAAAUUCCAAUCGAGCCCGGAGAUAGCUGGUUCUCCCCGAAAUAGCUUUAGGGCUAGCCUCAAGGUGAGAGAUACGGAGGUAGAGCACUGAAUGUCCUAGGGGGUAUUGCACCUACCGAAGACUAUCAAACUCCGAAUGCCGUCAUCUUAUACUUGGGAGUCAGACUGUGGGUGAUAAGAUUCAUAGUCGAAAGGGCAACAGCCCAGAUCGUCAGCUAAGGUCCCUAAAUGUAAGUUAAGUGGUAAAGGAUGUGGGAUUGCACAGACAACCAGGAUGUUGGCUUAGAAGCAGCCACUCAUUCAAAGAGUGCGUAAUAGCUCACUGGUCGAGUGAUCCUGCGCCGAAGAUUUCCGGGGCUAAAACUUACUACCGAAGCUACGGCAUCAGUAAUGAUGGGUAGGGGAGCUUCCCAUACGGGUUGAAGCAUGACCGUAAGGACAUGUGGACAGUAUGGGAGUGAGAAUGUUGGCAUGAGUAGCGAGAUGUGGGUGAGAAUCCCACAGGCCGUAAACCCAAGGUUUCCAGGGGAAGGUUCGUCCGCCCUGGGUUAGUCGGGACCUAAGCUGAGGCCGAAAGGCGUAGGUGAUGGACAACAGGUUGAUAUUCCUGUACUACCGAUAACCGUUUGAGAGAAGGGAUGACACAGUAGGAUAAGCUAAGCACACUGUUGGUUAUGUGUGCCCAAG
rnacentral:rRNA from 1 species